rnacentral:tRNA from 1 species
AUCUAAAUAGCUUAUUAUUAAAAGUUUAAUAUUGAAGAUAUUAGGAAAAAAAAUUUUUUUUAGAUA